GUGGUUUACAGUGUCCAUGUUGCACAGUGUGGGAUAUUGUGUUUAGAUGUUAUACAGAGUGGGAUAUGUAGGUGUUAUACAGAGUGGGAUAUGUUGUUUAGGUGUUAUACAGGGUAGGUAGGUGUUAUACAGGGUGUGAUAUGUAGGUGUUAUACAGAGUGGGAUAUGUAGGUGUUAUACAGGGUGGGUUAUGUAGGUGUUAUACAGAGUGGGAUAUGUAGGUGUUAUACAGAGCGGGAUAUGUUGUUUAGGUGUUAUACAGGGUAUGUAGGUGUUAUACAGGGUGGGAUAUGAAGGUGUUAUACAGAGUGGGAUAUGUAGGUGUUAUACAGAGUGGAAUAUUUUGUUUAGGUGUUAUACAGGGUUUGUAGGUGUUAUACAGGGUGUGAUAUGUAGGUGUUAUACAGAGUGGGAUAUGUAGGUGUUAUACAGGGUGGGUUAUGUAGGUGUUAUACAGAGUGGGAUAUGUAGG